rnacentral:tRNA from 1 species
GCCAGUGUGGUUUAGUGGUUUGAGAGUUGGACUAUGACUCUGGAGAUCAGGGUUCAAUUCCUCACUUGAA